rnacentral:rRNA from 1 species
UAAGGAAUAUUGGUCAAUGGACGCAAGUCUGAACCAGCCAUGCCGCGUGAAGGAUGAAGGUCCUCUGGAUUGUAAACUUCUUUUAUCUGGGACGAAAACGGGAUUUUUAUCUCAAUUGACGGUACCAGAGGAAUAAGCACCGGCUAACUCCGUGCCAGCAGCCGCGGUAAUACGGAGGGUGCGAGCGUUAUCCGGAUUUACUGGGUUUAAAGGGUGCGUAGGUGGGCGUAUAAGUCAGUGGUGAAAUCUCCGAGCUUAACUUGGAAACUGCCGUUGAUACUAUAGGUCUUGAAUUAUCUGGAGGUAAGCGGAAUAUGUCAUGUAGCGGUGAAAUGCUUAGAUAUGACAUAGAACACCAAUUGCGAAGGCAGCUUACUACAUAUAAAUUGACGCUGAGGCACGAAAGCGCGGGGAUCAAACA